rnacentral:rRNA from 1 species
UACGUAGGGGGCAAGCGUUAUCCGGAAUUACUGGGUGUAAAGGGAGCGUAGACGGUAAUGUAAGUCUGGAGUGAAAGGCGGGGGCCCAACCCCCGGACUGCUCUGGAAACUAUGUUACUAGAGUGCAGGAGAGGUAAGCGGAAUUCCUAGUGUGGCGGUGAGAUGCGUAGAUAUUAGGAGGAACACCAGUGGCGAAGGCGGCUUACUGGACUGUAACUGACGUUGAGGCUCGAAAGCGUGGGGAGCAAACAGG